rnacentral:sRNA from 1 species
AUUUUUCUUCUAUCUAACGUUACGUUAUGAUGGCUUGGAGACUACUUUUUCCCUUGUUCAUAGUGGCAAUAUUGGUGACUUUUCAGCUAGUGGAUGGAACGUUAAGAGAUAUCUUAUCUCAAUCCAGAAGUAGAUUCAUAAUUGAACAUGCCUUAAGGGGCUUUGCUGGGUGUCAUGGAUCGGAUUAUUGGAACGAUCCUUGCUGUAGGUUGAAUCUUGCAUGUUUUCGAGACAGGAUUAGAGACAGGAUUAGAGACAGGAGACAGGACAUUAAAGACCUAGCAGAUUGAACGUACCUUUGGUGUUGGAUUCAAAAAGAAAAACGGAAUUGUCCCACAACUUUUAAUUGAACUGUUGAUUCUAUAGAGUAGAUUUUACUGUUUUGAGUUUUUGAAAUGUCAUCUGACAAAUAUUGAGUUGUCUUUUUAUCAAUAAAGAUAAUUUUAUAGCGC